rnacentral:rRNA from 1 species
AAGGCUCCAGCUUGCUGGGGUACACGAGUGGCGAACGGGUGAGUAACACGUGGGUGACCUGCCCUGCACUUCGGGAUAAGCCUGGGAAACUGGGUCUAAUACCGGAUAGGACCGCACCGUGAGGGUGUGGUGGAAAGUUUUUUCGGUGUGGGAUGGGCCCGCGGCCUAUCAGCUUGUUGGUGGGGUAAUGGCCUACCAAGGCGGCGACGGGUAGCCGGCCUGAGAGGGUGGACGGCCACAUUGGGACUGAGACACGGCCCAGACUCCUACGGGAGGCAGCAGUGGGGAAUAUUGCACAAUGGGCGGAAGCCUGAUGCAGCGACGCCGCGUGGGGGAUGACGGCCUUCGGGUUGUAAACUCCUUUCACCAUCGACGAAGGGUUUCUGACGGUAGAUGGAGAAGAAGCACCGGCUAACUACGUGCCAGCAGCCGCGGUAAUACGUAGGGUGCGAGCGUUGUCCGGAAUUACUGGGCGUAAAGAGCUCGUAGGUGGUUUGUCGCGUCGUCUGUGAAAUUCCGGGGCUUAACUCCGGGCGUGCAGGCGAUACGUGCAUAACUUGAGUACUGUAGGGGAGACUGGAAUUCCUGGUGUAGCGGUGGAAUGCACAGAUAUCAGGAAGAACACCGAUGGCGAAGGCAGGUCUCUGGGUAGUAACUGACGCUGAGGAGCGAAAGCAUGGGUAGCGAACAGGAUUAGAUACCCUGGUAGUCCAUGCCGUAAACGGUGGGCGCUAGGUGUGGGGUUCCUUCCACGGGCUCCGCGCCGUAGCUAACGCAUUAAGCGCCCCGCCUGGGGAGUACGGCCGCAAGGCUAAAACUCAAGGAAAUUGACGGGGGCCCGCACAAGCGGCGGAGCAUGUGGAUUAAUUCGAUGCAACGCGAAGAACCUUACCUGGGCUUGACAUAUAGAGGAUCGCUACAGAGAUGUGGUUUCCCUUGUGGCUUCUAUACAGGUGGUGCAUGGUUGUCGUCAGCUCGUGUCGUGAGAUGUUGGGUUAAGUCCCGCAACGAGCGCAACCCUUGUCUUAUGUUGCCAGCACGUUAUGGUGGGGACUCGUGAGAGACUGCCGGGGUCAACUCGGAGGAAGGUGGGGAUGACGUCAAAUCAUCAUGCCCCUUAUGUCCAGGGCUUCACACAUGCUACAAUGGCCGGUACAGAGGGCUGCGACGCCGUGAGGCGGAGCGAAUCUCUUAAAGCCGGUCUCAGUUCGGAUUGGGGUCUGCAACUCGACCCCAUGAAGUCGGAGUCGCUAGUAAUCGCAGAUCAGCAACGCUGCGGUGAAUACGUUCCCGGGCCU